AAGACAUGCUGUGGAAGAGAGCCAUUAACAGAUUGUGAGGAAGAAAGGUGACUGAAGAAGGAGUACUUAAUGCAUCAUGGGAAUCCCCCAGCAGCCUACACCUAUUGCAGCAUAACUAGCUAAAUACGCUAUCUCACAAAACUUCCUCAUCACACCACUGUUCCACACUAUAACUGAACUCGCCUUUCGGAUACUGGUCACAGCUCUCACUGGAUUCACGCUCCAAUCUCCAGGAAGGAAAUCCUCACCACGCUCACCAACAUCCCCUCCUGCCACCAUAGUUCACAGGGAGCCCUAAUAUUUAGUGUGACCUCUAGAUUACCACGCCACCAGCGACACCCUGAGCUCCACAUUCUUAGGCCACCAUGCUAGGUUACCUUACCAUGAAUCCCUUGUGAAGUAUAGCUCUGUGUUUUCUUGUAUCAAAUGAAGUUUUGUGUCAAUUUAACUCUGCCAUGUCCGCACUUGGUUCAGCACUAAAAGUUUCAGACUAGUUUCAGUAAUUGUGCAAAUGUACUGUUUAAAAGGUUGGGAAACCUGCAGUCAGAGGAGACUGAGACUAUGACCCCCACUAUGACCCUCCCCCCCGCCUAAUCCAAUGCUCCAGAUGGAAAAUCCCCAGACACUCACUUGGCUCAUGACAAACCUAGUUGCUAUUUGUUCUAACAAAUGAGAAAACUAUGCAAUAGUGAUCAGAGAUACAAUCUACAACAUUUGCAAUGGUGACAUUGAGACUUCUGGAAAAUAAAAAUAUCAAAUGUAUGAUAUUUUGUAUGUAUGGGUCCAUUCACAUUGUUGUUUAAAAUCACAUGAUGAACUGUUUCACGUCAGAGUUGCUGCUUUUUUUGUGUACCAUGCCAGUCACUUGGUUCCAGGACAAUUUACAAUUAUACACAGUGUCUUAUAGUUUUACAAACUACAGUAGUUGUAGUCAUCAAACUCGUAAAGCACUUUGUACACAAAUGCUACCUGCCCUUGAAAAUGUAUGUG
ensembl:lncRNA